UUGAGGCCAGCCUGGUCUACAAAGUGAGUGCCAGGACAGCCAGGGUUACACAGGGAUACCCUGUCUCAAAAAACAAACAAACAAACAAACAAACAAACGCUCUAGAAUCAACUGGGAAUAAAUAAAGUCUCACUGAGGAACUAUCUAGAUCAGGUUGCCUCGAAGCUUUGUCUAGGGAGGAGUUUGUAGGCUGUGGAUUGACUUAGGAAGAUCCUGUCUUCUUUUGGGCAGCAUCACCCCUGGGCAGGGCUAUCAGGGGAGACAGGAAAAAGUAGGCUCGCAUACAUUUAUUUCUCCCUGCUCUUGGCUCUGGAUGUGAUGUAUCUUACUACUGAAGUUCCUGCCUCGACUUCCCCUUAGUUAUGAACUGUAACUGGGAAUUAUAAAUUAAACAAACCUUUUAUCCCCUAAAAUGCUUUUUAUUAUUUUAUUCCCUUUUCUUCAGUUCGUCUCAUAUGGAGCCUCCCAAGACAAGAACAUUACUACUACUAUUACUAUUACACUUGUGCUCUUCUUCCUCCUCCUCUUCCUCCUCUUCCUGUUCCUCCUGCUUCUCCUUCUUCUUUUCCUUCUUCUUCCCACUGAAUCCACUUACUGCUGCCUUUAUUUAAGUGGAUGCAGGACUAUGUUUUGGAGCAUGGGUAGCCUCUCAGGAACCAGAUCCCUGAGGAAAACUGGCCCUUCCUCCCCCCACCCCCUUGCACCUCCCAUCAGGCAUUAGUGGCUAAUGAGUCCUCAGCUAAGGGUGAAACUUCAUGACCCGCUCCCCAUCUAUGCUGGGAUUCUGCCUGGCUUGUUGUGUCAGGUUUUGUGCAAGCAGUCACAGCCACUGCGAGUUCACAUGUGCAAUAGCAGUGACCUGUCCAGCUUUCUGUCAGGAUAGUUUAUCACAGCAAUGGGAAUGCAACUAGAACACCACCUGUCCUCAAUGCUAAUUAAAGAGACAAGUGAUAGUGAGGAGCAGAGAAAGGUUUAUUUAAUGGGGCAACAUUGGAAAAAAAAAGACUGGAUAUAGAGGUCUUAGGUCCAUCUUCAAUCUCCUGACAUGAGAUGUCUGGCAAAUAGAGAACAAGAAGUAUGUGUAGCUAAGCCACUCUUGAUACUAUGAUCCUACCCAUCAGUGUCUAGGUGCCAGUCUCUCAGGCAAAGUGAUAUGAUGUGUGUGUGGGGGGGGGGGAGUACCUGGGAGACAAUAUGUACUUUUGACUGGUCCUAGGCACCAGUCUUUCCUGUCUCCUACUAAAAGAUGCUAUAGGCAAAUCCAACUUCUCAGGUUCCACUGUCUCAAUAGUCUGAUAGCCCACAGACUACGGGUAGGACACAAGUACCCCUUUAGAAUGUCUCCCUGCUUGCCGGGACAAUUAUAUUAAUAACAGUUGUCAAUUAGAUUAGGGUGGUUUAAAUUUCCUUUUCAAUCUCUUUUGAUUUUCUCAGAUAUAGAGACUAUUUUGUUAAUUAAAAUAAGUCAUUUUGAGGGAAAGAUUGAGACUAGUUGUAGAGGUGAUUUUGAACCCCUACCCUCCACCAAACAAGCUCAGCGUUCCAUUAAGCUAAAGGAAACUCACUACAGACUCCAUUGCACAUCCCACCCCCUGCUCUUAAGGCCUGAGGUUGGGGCUCUGCUACUGUUCUUGAAGGUGGUUGGUAAGACAACAUAGCCUGGGUGUCGGUGGCCUAGUCGGUCUGAAGUCACAAAGUCAGGAAUAGCGCUUGCCUCAAGACAUCAAAAAGACCUUUUUUUUUUUGAAUGCUGUCUGCAUUUUGUUUAUCAAAAGAUCUUUCUUAUGUUUCUUUUUGGCACAAUUAAGUGGAUUUGAUCAUUCGCAUUUGUGGACCCUUAACAUAUUCAUCCCAAAUGCCUUCCUGCAUCUGCUAUCUAUUUCAAUAUUGUUUUUCCUAAUAGUCUGGGGAUAUUUUCAACAUUUGGCCUUUUUUUUUAUUGCUUUAAUGACAAUAUCUGGAGAGAGUUAAAGGUCUAGAGAGUUAGUUUUUUAUUCCAUUCAUCUACAAUAAUCACUUGUUUUGAAGGCAAAGAGAGCCCUUUCCUGUUUUCCCCAUUCCGUUCCUUCAUAAAUAAGCUUUGUGUUACUCGGGAUUAGAUGGUGCCUCUGGUACGAUUUUUACUGAUCCUGUAUGCUAAUUAACUAUGUCCUGUGCAUACUUUGGUUGUGAGAGAUAAGAUCUCUCCAUAUGUAUGGUAAAUGAAUAAUAAUAGGUUUUAGAGAGGAUACAUCUCUGUAACAAGAUCCCCUUUAGUUUUGAGCUGGCCUUUGUUUUCCUGUCUCUUUAUCCUUCAUCCUUGUGGCUGUCUGUUCCUCCCACUUCUUAUUUUAGAUGACCAAACCAUUCUCUUUUAUUUCUUCCUUUACUCCUUAGCCUAGCUUCAUCAUGGGCAGGUCUUACUUUGGGAGAUCCUUUGAGUAUCAUAGCUUCUGGUCUUAUAGAAGUCAGUAUGUUCUUCCUUUAGAAAAAGAAAAAGAAAAAGAGAAAGAAAAAGAAAAAG
rnacentral:lncRNA from 1 species